rnacentral:rRNA from 1 species
UUGCUUCCAUGGGACCUGGAACAAGCGUCCACAUCGGCCCUCAACGCUGGUGAGCGCCCAUGGGAGGAGUAAUGAUAACCCUUCUUUGAAGUGAAGUUAGUCUGAAAAUGUUACAGUAAACGUUAAAACUUUCAACAACGGAUCUCUUGGUUCUCGCAUCGAUGAAGAACGCAGCGAAAUGCGAUAAGUAGUGUGAAUUGCAGAAUUCAGUGAAUCAUCGAAUCUUUGAACGCACAUUGCGCCUUCUGGUAUUCCGGGAGGCAUGCCUGUUCGAGCGUCAUCAAAAACCUUCAGUCUCUGAUUUUUAAAGUCAAAGGUUGGUCUUGCUUUGGAGGUGUCAGCUUCCUCUGCGAAAUUCAAUGGCGAAAAGCCACGCAACCAGCGCGUAGUAAAUUCAACCUCGCAAUGGGAACGUGAGCGCUUCAGCCAAACCCCCCCAAUACUCCAUGUUUUUGACCUCGGAUCAGGUAGGGAUACCCGCUGAACUUAAGCAUAUCAAUAAGCGGAGGAAAAGAAACCAACAGGGAUUGCCUUAGUAACUGCGAGUGAAGCGGCAAAAGCUCAAAUUUGAAAUCUGGCGCCUUUGGCGUUCGAGUUGUAAUUUGGAGAGGCAUCUUCGGUUUGGUCACCGGUCCAAGUUCCUUGGAACAGGGCGUCACAGAGGGUGAGAAUCCCGUGUCUGGCUGGUUGCACCAUUCCAUGUGAAGAGUCUUCGACGAGUCGAGUUGUUUGGGAAUGCAGCUCAAAAUGGGUGGUAAAUUUCAUCUAAAGCUAAAUAUUGGCGAGAGACCGAUAGCGCACAAGUAGAGUGAUCGAAAGAUGAAAAGCACUUUGAAAAGAGAGUUAAAAAGUACGUGAAAUUGUUGAAAGGGAAGCGCUUGAGACCAGACUCAAUUUUCGGUAAUCAGCGGUCCUUUUGGGCCGUGCACUUGCCGUUCUUUGGGCCAGCAUCGGUUCUGGCCGCGUGAUAAAGAUCUUGGGAA